UCACAGCACACAGUGAGUAUAUCACAGCACACAGUGGGUGUCACAGCCCACAGUGGGUAUAUCACAGCACACAGCGGGUGUCACAGCCCACAGUGGGUAUAUCACAGCCCACAGCAGGUGUCACAGCCCACAGUGGGUAUAUCACAGCCCACAACAAGUGUCACAGCCCACAGUGGGUAUAUCACAGCACACAGCGGGUAGGUAUUUCAGGGCACACGGC